UGAAUUCUGGGGCUGGGAGGGGAAAGCGGGAGACAGUGGGUAAUGGAGAGCGGUGCCAGCCUCCGCGCUUAGCACUUUCCCUGAGGCGUGCGGUUUACGUUAUUUAAAAUAAAAAUCAAAGACUGGAGCAUGAACUCCCAACAGCCCAGGCACUGUCCCGCGAUAUAGCUAGCACCUCUUAUCUGGAAGAGAAUGCCUGAACAUACUGCUUCCUCUCUGGGUGUACUGAAGACAAAAACUUGUGAACAAGCGACGCAAGAGAAUGUGGAUUGGAAAAAUUGGAGGCGACUUGGUCGGAGUCUUCCAGCCUUUCUAAUACCCGCCGGCUCCAUGGUCACUCUGCCACAGUGCCAGGGACAAAGAACUCCCCGUCUGGAAGGUGCCGUAGCCUGACUGAGGUUGAAAGCAGUCACCCUUCAGGAACGCUCAGCAGACUUUCAUCCUGAAAAGCUGCCCAGCUAAAGAAACUUAUACAAGAAAAAGACAUGGAAAACCAAAAUGGUAAAUGAA
rnacentral:lncRNA from 1 species